rnacentral:rRNA from 1 species
GAUGAACGCUGACAGAAUGCUUAACACAUGCAAGUCUUUGGCGAAGCUGUGCUUGCACAGCCUAGCCAAGGCGGACGGGUGAGUAACGCGUAAGGAACUUGCCCUGCAGUCAGGGAUAACAGACGGAAACGACUGAUAAGACCUGGUAAAGUCAGGCGGACUCAUGUCCAGCCUGAUGAAAAGAGAUGCUGCAGGAGAGCCUUGCGUCCUAUUAGCUUGUUGGUGGGGUAACGGCCCACCAAGGCGAUGAUAGGUAGCCGGCCUGAGAGGGUGGACGGCCACAAGGGGACUGAGAUACGGCCCUUACUCCUACGGGAGGCAGCAGUGGGGAAUAUUGGACAAUGGGGGCAACCCUGAUCCAGCAAUUCUGCGUGCACGAUGAAGGUUUUCGGAUUGUAAAGUGCUUUCAGCAGGGAAGAAAAAAUGACGGUACCUGCAGAAGAAGCGACGGCUAAAUACGUG